AGAGUUUGUUCCUGGCUCAGGACGAACGCUGGCGGCGUGCUUAACACAUGCAAGUCGAACGGAGCACCCCUGAAAGAGUUUUCGGACAAUGGAAGGGAAUGCUUAGUGGCGGACUGGUGAGUAACGCGUGAGGAACCUGCCUUCCAGAGGGGGACAACAGUUGGAAACGACUGCUAAUACCGCAUGAUGUGUUUCGAUGGCAUCAUCGAGACACCAAAGAUUUAUCGCUGGAAGAUGGCCUCGCGUCUGAUUAGCUAGUAGGCGGGGUAACGGCCCACCUAGGCGACGAUCAGUAGCCGGACUGAGAGGUUGACCGGCCACAUUGGGACUGAGAUACGGCCCAGACUCCUACGGGAGGCAGCAGUGGGGAAUAUUGGGCAAUGGGCGCAAGCCUGACCCAGCAACGCCGCGUGAAGGAAGAAGGCUUUCGGGUUGUAAACUUCUUUUAAGAGGGAAGAGCAGAAGACGGUACCUCUUGAAUAAGCCACGGCUAACUACGUGCCAGCAGCCGCGGUAAUACGUAGGUGGCAAGCGUUGUCCGGAUUUACUGGGUAUAAAGGGCGUGCAGCCGGGAAGACAAGUCAGAUGUGAAAUCCCGCGGCUCAACCGCGGAACUGCAUUUGAAACUGUUUUUCUUGAGUACCGGAGAGGUCAUCGGAAUUCCUUGUGUAGCGGUGAAAUGCGUAGAUAUAAGGAAGAACACCAGUGGCGAAGGCGGAUGACUGGACGGCAACUGACGGUGAGGCGCGAAAGCGUGGGGAGCAAACAGGAUUAGAUACCCUGGUAGUCCACGCUGUAAACGAUCAAUACUAGGUGUGCGGGGACUGACCCCCUGCGUGCCGCAGUUAACACAAUAAGUAUUGCACCUGGGGAGUACGAUCGCAAGGUUGAAACUCAAAGGAAUUGACGGGGGCCCGCACAAGCGGUGGAUUAUGUGGUUUAGUUCGAAGCAACGCGAAGAACCUUACCAGGCCUUGACAUCCUGCUGAUGGCAUAUGCAAUGUAUGUUCCCUCCGGGGCAGCAGAGACAGGUGGUGCAUGGUUGUCGUCAGCUCGUGUCGUGAGAUGUUGGGUUAAGUCCCGCAACGAGCGCAACCCCUGCCCCCAGUAGCCAGCGCGCAAGGGCGGGCACUCUGGGGGGACUGCCAGGGACAACCUGGAGGAAGGCGGGGAUGACGUCAAAUCAUCAUGCCCCUUAUGGCCUGGGCUACACACGUGCUACAAUGGCGUCCACAAAGGGAGGCGAAAUGGCGACAUGGAGCAAACCCCAGAAAAGGCGCCCCAGUUCGGAUUGCGGCCUGCAACUCGGCUGCAUGAAGCCGGAAUCGCUAGUAAUCGCGGAUCAGAAUGCCGCGGUGAAUACGUACGCGGGUCUUGCACUCACCGCCCGUCA
rnacentral:rRNA from 1 species